rnacentral:rRNA from 1 species
GAGUUUGAUCCUGGCUCAGAAUCAACGCUGGCGGCGUGCCUAACACAUGCAAGUCGAACGCGAAGGGGGGUUUCGGCCCCCCGGAGAGUGGCGCACGGGUGAGUAACGCGUGGGUAAUCUGCCUUCGGGUGGGGAAUAACGACUCGAAAGGGUCGCUAAUACCGCAUAACGCAGCGGCACCGCAUGGUGACAGUUGUUAAAGGGGGGGACCCUUCGGGGCCUCCCGCCGGAAGAGGAGCCCGCGUCCGAUUAGCUAGUUGGUGGGGUAAGAGCCCACCAAGGCUGCGAUCGGUAGCCGGCCUGAGAGGGCGGUCGGCCACACUGGCACUGAGAUACGGGCCAGACUCCUACGGGAGGCAGCAGUGGGGAAUUUUGGGCAAUGGGCGAAAGCCUGACCCAGCAACGCCGCGUGAAGGACGAAAUCCCUCUGGGAUGUAAACUUCGAAAGUCGGGAAAGAAAUCACCGGGGCCAAUACCCCCGGCGGAUGACGGUACCCGACGUAAGCCCCGGCUAACUACGUGCCAGCAGCCGCGGUAAUACGUAGGGGGCAAGCGUUGUUCGGAAUUACUGGGCGUAAAGGGCGCGUAGGCGGCACGGCAAGUCAGGAGUGAAAGCCCGGGGCUCAACCCCGGAACGGCUUUUGAGACUGCCGAGCUAGAGUGCGGAAGGGGCAACCGGAAUUCCCAGUGUAGCGGUGAAAUGCGUAGAUAUUGGGAAGAACACCGGAGGCGAAGGCGGGUUGCUGGGCCGACACUGACGCUGAGGCGCGAAAGCCAGGGGAGCAAACGGGAUUAGAUAC